UUACGGCCACAUCACGUUGAAACACCGCUUCCCGUACGAUCACCAAAGUUAAGCAACGUCCACCCUGGUCGGUACCAAGAUGGGUGACCGCUUGGGAAUACCAGGUGCU
rnacentral:rRNA from 1 species